GCUGAUCUGGUCCAACGGCAAGAUCCUCACUUUCCUUGUGAGGGAUGCGGGUUCGAGUCCCGCGGUCAGCA
rnacentral:tRNA from 1 species